UGACUCCAACUUACUGAUAGUGUUUUAUGUUCAGAUAAUGCCCGAUGACCUUGUCAUGCAGCUCCACCGAUUUUGAGAACGACAGUGACUUCCGUCCCAGCCUUGCCAGAUGUUGUCUCAGAUUCAGAUUAUGUCGCUCAAUGCGCUGAGUGUAACGCUUGCUGAUAACGUGCAGCUUUCCCUUCAGGCGUGAUUCAUACAGCGGCCAGCCAUCCGUCAUCCAUACCACGACCUCAAAGGCCGACAGCAGGCUCAUAAGACGCUCCAGUGUGGCCAGAGUGCGUUCACCGAAAACGUGCGCCACAACUGUCCUCCGUAUCCUGUCAUACGCGUAAAACAGCCAGCGCUGACGUGAUUUAGCACCGACGUAGCCCCACUGUUCGUCCAUUUCAGCGCAGA
rnacentral:rRNA from 1 species